rnacentral:lncRNA from 1 species
CUAUAGACUACGAUCUAGCCCCUCUUCACGCAGACCAGGUAAACCGCGGGUUGUGCUCCAAACUGGCCAGGGUCCAAGAGCCCCCCAACUGAACUGUCAAAGUGCCGAACGAAUCAAACCCAUGUAUGCGCCUUGCCUUCCAAGGAACUCUUGCCUUCCAGGAAAUAUCCUUUCUUCCAGGAAAAAGCCUUGUCUUCCAAGAGCCCCAUGAAUCGAACCCGCGACCUCUGAACAGCCCGCCUUGAAGAACUCCGUCCUUUGUCAGUUGGGAUGUGCCCCGACAAUUAUGUCUAUUUUUGUUGGC